GACGAACGCUGGCGGCGUGCUUAACACAUGCAAGUCGAGCGGAAAGGCCACUUCGGUGGUACUCGAGCGGCGAACGGGUGAGUAACACGUGAGUAAUCUGCCCCCGGCUUUGGGAUAGCCACCGGAAACGGUGAUUAAUACCGGAUACGACCACUUCUCGCAUGGGAUGGUGGUGGAAAGUUUUUCGGCCAGGGAUGUGCUCGCGGCCUAUCAGCUUGAUGGUGAGGUAAUGGCUCACCAUGGCUUCGACGGGUAGCCGGCCUGAGAGGGUGACCGGUCACACUGGGACUGAGACACGGCCCAGACUCCUACGGGAGGCAGCAGUGGGGAGUAUUGGACAAUGGGCGGAAGCCUGAUCCAGCAACGCCGCGUGAGGGAUGACGGCCUUCGGGUUGUAAACCUCUUUCAGCAGGGACGAAGCGCAAGUGACGGUACCUGCAGAAGAAGCACCGGCCAACUACGUGCCAGCAGCCGCGGUAACAC
rnacentral:rRNA from 1 species